rnacentral:rRNA from 1 species
AGGUCUCCUGAAGGAACGUUGAAGACGACGACGUUGAUAGGCCGGGUGUGUAAGCGCAGCGAUGCGUUGAGCUAACCGGUACUAAUGAACCGUGAGGUUUAACCUUACAACGCCGAAG